UUGAUUUAUUUGCUAUAAGCCACUCAGAUAAUGCCACAUAUAAAACAAGAGUUUGGAGUCCUCCGGCGGGCGCCUGGAUCCGGGGCACGCAAAGGCGCCCGGGGCGAUCCCGCCGAAGCAACAGAUGGUAUGUUCACAGGGGUUUGGGAGUUUUUACACUCAGUAAUGAUCCCUCCGCUGGUUCACCAACGGAGA
rnacentral:misc_RNA from 1 species